AUACGUAGGGGGCGAGCGUUGUCCGGAAUGAUUGGGCGUAAAGGGCGCGUAGGCGGCCCGGUAAGUCUGGAGUGAAAGUCCUGUUUUUAAGAUGGGAAUUGCUUUGGAUACUGUCGGGCUUGAGUGCAGGAGAGGUAAGUGGAAUUCCCAGUGUAGCGGUGAAAUGGGUAGAGAUUGGGAGGAACACCAGUGGCGAAGGCGACUUACUGGUCUUUAACUGACGCAUAGGCGCGAAAGUGUGGGGAGCAAACAGGAUUAGAUCCCCUGGUAGUCCACACUGUAAUCGAUGAAUGCUAAGUGUAGGGAGUAUCGACCCCUUCUGUGCCGCAGGCAACACAAUAAGGAUUCCGCCUGGGGAGUUCGGCCGCAAGGUUGAAACUCAAAUGAAUUGGCGGGG
rnacentral:rRNA from 1 species